AUUGAACGCUGGCGGCAGGCCUAACACAUGCAAGUCGAACGAGCGGCGGACGGGUGAGUAAUGUAUGGGGACUGCCCGAUAGAGGGGGCUAACUACUGGAAACGGUGGCUAAUACCGCAUACUAUCGGAUAACCCAUAUGGGAUUAGCUAGUUGGUGGGGUAAAGGCUCACCUAGGCGACGAUCUCUAGCUGGUCUGAGAGGAUGAUCAGCAACACUGGGACUGAGACACGGCCCAGACUCCUACGGAGGCAGCAUGGGGGAAUAUUGCGCAAUGGGGGCAAGCCUGAUGCAGCCAUGCCGCGUGAAUGAAGAAGGCCUUAGGGUUGUAAAGUUCUUUCGGUGGUGAGGCGUUAACUGCAGAAGAAGCACCGGCUAACUCCGUGCCAGCAGCCGCGGUAAUUC
rnacentral:rRNA from 1 species